rnacentral:rRNA from 1 species
UGAGGAAUAUUGGUCAAUGGGCGAGAGCCUGAACCAGCCAAGUAGCGUGCAGGAUGACGGCCCUAUGGGUUGUAAACUGCUUUUUUAGGGGAAUAAAGUUAGCCACGUGUGCUCUUUUUGCAUGUACCUCAUGAAAAGGCAGCGGCUA